AGUGAACGCUGGCGGUAGGCCUAACACAUGCCAGUCGAACGGCAGCACAGUAAGAGCUUGCUCUUACGGGUGGCGAGUGGCGGACGGGUGAGGAAUACAUCGGAAUCUACUUUUUCGUGGGGGAUAACGUAGGGAAACUUACGCUAAUACCGCAUACGACCUACGGGUGAAAGCAGGGGAUCUUCGGACCUUGCGCGAUUGAAUGAGCCGAUGUCGGAUUAGCUAGUUGGCGGGGUAAAGGCCCACCAAGGCGACGAUCCGUAGCUGGUCUGAGAGGAUGAUCAGCCACACUGGAACUGAGACACGGUCCAGACUCCUACGGGAGGCAGCAGUGGGGAAUAUUGGACAAUGGGCGCAAGCCUGAUCCAGCCAUACCGCGUGGGUGAAGAAGGCCUUCGGGUUGUAAAGCCCUUUUGUUGGGAAAGAAAAGCAGCAGGUUAAUACCCCGCUGUUCUGACGGUACCCAAAGAAUAAGCACCGGCUAACUUAGU
rnacentral:rRNA from 1 species